GUUCAAGAAGAGACACAAUGGGGUUUACGUCAAAAUUACUGAUAAUUACACUGGCCAUACUGCUUGUUACUGUACCUGUAACUAUAAGUGCUGAGAAUACAACAUCAACAACAACUGCUGAACCAACAACAACAACUGCGGAAUCAACAACAACUACUGGAACCUCAACAACUGCAGCAGUAACUACAACAACUGCAGCAACAACCACGACAACUGCUGAAUCAACAACAGCUGCAGCAGUAACUACAACAACUGCAGCAACAACCACAACAACUGCUGCAGGAACCACAACAACCGGUGCGGGAACCACAACAACUGCAGCAGUAACUACAACAACUGCAGCAACAACCACAACAACUGCUGAAUCAACAACAGCUGCAGCAGUAACUACAACAACUGCAGCAACAACCACAGCAACUGCUGCAACAACCACAACAACUGCUGCAGGAACCACAACAACCGGUGCAGGAACCACAACAACUGCAGCAGUAACUACAACAACUGCAGCAACAACCACAACAACUGCUGAAUCAACAACAGCUGCAGCAGUAACUACAACAACUGCAGCAACAACCACAGCAACUGCUGCAACAACCACAACAACUGCUGCAGGAACCACAACAACCGGUGCAGGAACCACAACAACUGCAGCAGUAACUACAACGACCGGUGCAGGAACCACAACGGCUGUUGCAGGAACCACAACGACUGUUGCAGGAACCACAACGACUGCUGCAGGAAACACAACUACUGCUGCAGGAAACACAACAACUGCAGCAGGAAACACAACAACUGCUCCAGGAACAAUAGCUACUACUGCUCAGCCACUCACUUCCAAUAAGUUCACUUUUAAAACCGAUGAGAUUUUUACCUCCGACUUACUGAAUUCAUCAUCUCCAGGAUAUAAAGCUCGAUCCACAAAAGUUAACAACACCUUUGACCCUUUCUUCAGAGCGAAAUUUCCCCAAUCAUAUCAUGGUCUGAAUGUGACUGGAUACGGAAAAGGAUCCAUAAUCAACAAUGUGACGGCGUUUUUCUUGUCUACAACUGCUCCCAGUAAUGAUCAAAUUCAAGCCUUUCUGAUUGAUAUAGCUAAAAACAUCACAGACUUUAACAUCACUGCAAUUUUCUUGGAUGUCACCCAAGCAUCAAGUGGAGUAAGCUACCAGACCAGUCUCAUCACUGCAUCCUUCAUGAUGCUGCUGUCAUGGCUGCUAUCAAACCAGCGAUAGUGCCAGUGCUACUCUCCAUGUGAAAUCAAAGAAUUACUGGCAUCUUCAAAUUUGGGAUGAUGACACACAAAGGUUGAACAGCAACUACACAUUUAGCUGACAGAUGUUACACAAGUUGUUUGUUUCCCUGUGACGUUCCAUGAAUCCCAUCCACUAAGGAAAACAAAUCAAACAACUAAAACAAUAUUAUUUUAAGUAGGUGUAGGUACAAAAGCUGUGUUUCAUGAUUGUUUUGCAUCAUGACUUAAUAAAAAAAUGUAAUUAUUAGACUCA
ensembl:lncRNA